AGAGAGAGACAUGCGCCGCAUAUCAAUAAGCGGAGGAAAAGAAACUAACAAGGAUUCCCCUAGUAACGGCGAGUGAAGCGGGAAGAGCUCAAAUUUGAAAUCUUAAAGGGUUUCCCUUUACGAAUUGUAGUUUAAAGAAGUGUUUUCUGUUGAGGUUUUGGUAAAAGUUCUUUGGAAUAGGACAUCAUAGAGGGUGAGAAUCCCGUAUUUGACCUUUACUUUCAACUUUGUGAUACACUUUCAAAUGAGUCGGAUUGUUUGGGAAUGCAGUCCAAAAUGGGUGGUAAAUUUCAUCUAAAGCUAAAUAUUGGCGAGAGACCGAUAGCGAACAAGUACCGUGAGGGAAAGAUGAAAAGAACUUUGAAAAGAGAGUUAAACAGUACGUGAAAUUGUCAAAAGGGAAGCGUUUGACACCAGUGUUGUUUUUCUGAAAAUCAAUUAAAGAACUGUUUAUGCUAAGUUGUUUAGACUUUAUCAGCUAACUGUUUAGUUUUGAGCUUUUCUUUAAUGCACUUUUCAGUUAACAAGUCAACAUCAAUUUCUUUUGCUGUAAAAAAGCUUGAGGAAGGUGGCUUGAGAUUCGUCUUAAGUGUUUAUAGCCUCUUGCCUAUGCAGUCGGAGAGAUUGAGGUCUGCAGCGUAGAUCCUUCGGGGCUAAAUGCAUUUGUGCUAAGUUAUAGCAUUUUAUAGACAGCUUGUUGACUAUGAUUUGUCUUGUAGCUUACUCGCUUAUGUUAUUUUACCUACGCUUAGGAUGUUGAGCGCAUGUCUCUCUCU
rnacentral:rRNA from 1 species